GAGACUUGUUGACUCAGUGACACAGAGAAGAAGAAAAAGAAGGAAGAAGAAUGAAGCGCAGGGUGUUGAUGCUGUGCGGCGACUUCAUGGAAGACCAGGAGGCCAUGGUUCCAUUUCAAGCAUUGCAGGGUUAUGGGCUCGCCGUCGAUGCCGUCUGUCCUGGAAAGAAAGCCGGCGACGUCUGCCGCACUUGUAUUCACCAACUCUCUCCUACUCACCAGACAUAUUCUGAAUCACGUGGUCAUAAUUUUACACUGAAUGCAACAUUCAAUGAUGUUGAAGCUGACAAUUAUGAUGGAUUAAUAAUCCCAGGUGGGCGGGCUCCUGAGUAUCUUGCUAUUGAUGCAUCUAUUGUAGAUUUGGUGAAAAAUUUACAGACUCCACAAAGGCAAUUGCAGCUAUUUGCCAUGGGCAAUUGGUCCUAGCAGCUGCUGGCUCAGUUAAAGGUCGGAAGUGCACAGCAUAUCCUGCUCUGGGACCUGUACUUGUUGCUGCAGGUGCUCACUGGGUGGAACCGGAGACCUUGGCAGCGUGUGUCGUUGAUGGUAACAUAAUCACAGGGGCUACAUAUGAAGGCCAUCCUGAGUUCAUUAGGGCUUUUGUGAAGGCACUAGGAGGCAACACAACUGGUUCAGAUAGAAGAGUCCUGUUUCUGUGUGGAGACUUCAUGGAAGAUUAUGAGGUGGCUGUGCCUUUUCAGUCGCUUCAAGCUCUAGGGUGCCAUGUCGAUGGAGCUUGCCCCAAUAAGAGAUCUGGUGAUAUUUGCGCAACUGCUGUCCAUGAUUUUGAAGGUGAUCAAACCUACAGUGAGAAGCCAGGACAUAAUUUCACUUUAACAGCUGAUUUUGAAGCUAUAGAUGCCUCCAGUUAUGAUGCUCUUGUCAUCCCUGGCGGUCGGGCACCAGAAUAUUUGGCAUUAGAUAAGAAAGUUAUUGAACUAGUGAAACAAUUUAUGGAAGCCAAGAAACCAGUUGCAUCCAUCUGCCAUGGGCAACAGAUUCUAGCUGCUGCUGGUGUUCUACAGGGUAGGAAUUGUACUGCAUACCCAGCGGUGAAGCUUAAUGUGAUUUUAUCAGGAGCCACAUGGCUCGAACCUGAUCCAAUACACCGUUGCUUCACUGAUGGGAAUUUGGUGACUGGAGCAGCUUGGCCAGGCCACCCGGAGUUCAUUUCUCAAUUGAUGGCAUUGCUAGAUGUUGGAGUUUCAUUUUAGUCGCUAUUACCAGGUCACCCUUUACGUGUAAAAUGUACAUUUACUACAGUAAUCCAUCAGAGUAAUAACAUGUAUACAUGAUAUGCCAUGCACCUUUGCUUGGGUGGAAACCUCUGCUUGUUUUUAAGUUUGUUCAAAUAAAUUGAUGGAACACUUUUAGGCCUUACAGCUCUUUCUCUCUCUUUGACUACGUCGCCAUAUAGACUGUAGA